rnacentral:lncRNA from 1 species
CUACGGGCCGCCAAAGCCCGAGCCUGAUAUGAUCAAACUCAUUCACCAUGCUAUUAGCAGAGGCAUCACCCAUCUUGACACCUCCGAUAUGUAUGGACCUCACACCAACGAAAUACUCAUUGGCAAGGUACCGUAUUUGCAAAUUUUCUGCUGUUGUGUGCUAUGCAUAAACUCUUGUACUUCUAAUUUCUAAAAGAGCAUAUUUGUAAGUAUUUUAUUUGGGUAUAUUAUAUUUAACCCCCUGCACUUGAAAUCUUGUCUCCCUUUGUGCCCCCUUAAUUUUGUUUGUCAGCACUUAAACUCCAUCUGUUUAAAUUAUAAGUAUUAUUAGUCAAAUAAGACAAUAAUAUUCUUCAUUUCUUCUUCUUCUUCUUCUUCUUCUUCAUUUUUUCAGAUGUUUGUCCUCAAUUGUAAGAGAAGGUCGUAGGUCUAGCACAUACGUUGAGUAGCUGUAUCCGAUUAGAAGGAUUUAGAUCAUAAUGGAGUUGGUAAAAUAGUACUAUUUUCGUCUUUGAAGUUAAAAUUGUCAUCAAUUUAUGGAAAGUUUACUAUUUCUCUGAUAAGAGAUGGUAAAAUUUACUUUUUACGAGUACUAAAGUUUUAAAGAUUAUGAAAAGAGAAUUGUACGAAUGAAUAUAAGGGAAAAGAAAGGUAAGAACAUAAAUAGAUUGUGUUUGGAUUGAUUUUGGGAGGGGCAAGGAGAGGAAAGGGAAAGAAAAGGAAAUGGAUGGAUUGUGUUUUGCUCAGACAUCAUUUCCAUACAAAAGUAGACGGAAACAGAGGGAAAGAAAAUCUAGUUGAUGAUUUUCUUAUAAAAUGCCUCAAGCACCCAAAUUUUACAUAAACUUGAGUAACCAUGUGUUUCAUAUCUGUAGAACUUGCCAUUUGUGAAACCUGCUUUAGAUAUGAAUUGUGGGAUGCAACAGCAGGCUAGGAAUGUUUGACUAAGCAACUUAUGUAAAUAUUUUAUCGUUAAGUGAAGUUCCUCUUUUGCUGUUUAAAAAAAAAAAAAAAAAAGAGAGAGAAAAACCAUUCCUUUAAUGUCUGUCAUUCUACCAAACAGCAGAUUUAGGAUUUCUUUUUUUCCCAUCCAUAUCUAAUCCAAAUAAGGCAAAUGAGAACUAUUUUCCACUACUCUCCUUUCCUUUCUUUUUCACUAGGAUGUUUUAUUUAUUCUUUCCUUUGAUCCUAAUGGUUCCUAAAAGGGCACUAAUUAUUCUACAUUGAUCGUUCCCCAUAUUUGUAUUAAUGUGCAUGUUCACGAUUCUGUGUACGUUCAUGUUGUGCAUCAAAUCUUGUGAAUGUCAAAGCUAAGAUUGUAAAUUUAAGUUGAAGAAACAUAAAAGAAAAAAGAAAAUGGAUUGGCUCCUUUAAGAGUAUCAGACUUCUAAACCCCAAGGAUUACAUAAUUUUCAUAUCCUUUGCUAUACAAAGAAGUGGCAUAGCCUUAACAAUGAAGUGCUGGAAAAACUCCAGAAGGACUGUGCCAUCCAUGAAAUCACAAUUCCGCUUGCUAUACCAUGCAUUAAUGUGUAUGCCCUUGAUGAUUAAUAUAAUGAAAUCAUGGUUCUAGGCCUUGAAGGAAGGAAUAAGAGCGAAAGUGGAGCUAGCAACAAAAUUUGCAAUCAGUUAUCAGGAUGGGAAAUUUGAUGUACGUGGUGAUCCAGCCUAUGUGAGGGCUUGUUGUGAAGCGAGUUUGAAGCGGCUUGAUGUGGACUGCAUUGAUCUCUAUUAUCAACAUCGCAUUGAUACACGUGUGCCCAUUGAAGUCACGGUUUGCUCGUCUUGCCUUUCUUGUAUUUUAGCUCCACCUCAUUCUUGAUGAAACAAAAGUUUGAUCAACUCCAAAUUUCGAAUAAUUCAGUUUCAUGUGCGUUUCAAUUCUUCAAAAAUUGCACAGAAAAGUUAGUCAACCUUAUGGUCUAGGCUAAUCUGCAGUAUGCUAAAUCUUAUUUAGCACCAGGCACCCUGAAAAGUGAAAACAAUGAAAAUGUCUUAUAUUAGCUUGGCAGUCCUGCUGAGGGAUAUACAGGUGGAUAUCAUGCUAUACAUUGUACAGCUUUCCUUUAGAAGCAAGAGACCUGAGCAUUCUCUUUCAUUUGAGAUAGGCUAUCCAGUUGAGUAAUGAUAUGCUAUUUACUUACCUUGUCAUUCGUUUUCAGUCGGUGCCAAAAGCACUGCAGAUAGAAGUUUUUUAGUCAAUAUCUAAAAAACGUGGUACUCAUUUUGUUCAGAGUAUAGCUUUUUGUCUAAUUGUGAAAGCCAGCUGCGACUACCCCGUUGACCUCUCUAAGCAAUUCAAAGAUUGCAGCUGCUUGCUUACAUUCAGCUUUUAUGAAAACAAUUUCUGUCUUCUUUUUCUAAUAUAGUCAGCAAAGAAUUGUCUUGUUUUUCCUGAGUAUUAGGAAGAAACUUUCUUGCAGUUUAAUCACUCAAAAUACAGGCAAGUAUAAAGGAAAUCAAGGAAAUCGACAACUGAUAAUUGAUAUGUGCAGCCAUUAUUAUAUCUAGACGAAGUCAACAAUGUCGUGUAAUCAUAUUGGAGGAGCAUUAUGUUGGCAUGGUCCAAUAGAGCUAAGUCAUCCGGUGGGCUGUACAUAGAGAAGUAUCACUGGAUGCUUAUUGCCAUUUUUGUCAAUUAUUGAUUUCAGUUUGACGUAUAAUUUGUCCACGACUUCAUUGAACUAGUCCAACUUUUACUUUUUUGCACGUAAUAUUUCGAUUAUCUGCCUAAGUAUUGAAUGUAAUAAAUCAGCUUUGCAUUUUCUUGUCCAUUGAAAUUCUCUAGAUAGGAGAGCUCAAGAAACUGGUUGAAGAGGGUAAAAUAAAGUAUAUAGGUCUGUCUGAGGCCUCAGCUUCAACAAUUCGAAGAGCACAUGCUGUUCAUCCAAUAACAGCGGUACAGUUGGAGUGGUCAUUGUGGGCCAGAGAUGUCGAGGAAGAGAUUAUUCCCACUUGCAGGUAGUGCAUAUAUUCUGCUGCAUUUUCUACGUGGUCUAGAAGAAAUAUGAAGUUCUUAAUUCAGUUUUUGGUAUAAUCUUUCAGAGAGCUUGGAAUAGGGAUUGUUGCAUACAGUCCACUUGGAAGAGGAUUCUUCUCUUCAGGUCCAAAGCUGGUCGAGAAUUUGGCUGAAGGUGACUGCCGAAAGGUUUGUGCAUAUCCAAAACUAUGAAGUUUUUGAGUAUAGAUUGUUUAUAGUUCGAAUAAGUUUCUCACUCAUCUACUUUUACCACUUCAGUGACAAUCUUGCUUGAUAUCCCUAUUCUUGUCUAUCUGUCAUAUGUUGCUGCACUUUUUGAUGUCCAAUAAUUUGAUUAAGCCUUAUAAUAUGAUCACAUUUAAUCAAAUUUCUAUUAAGCAGAGCAAAUCAACAGGCUUUUUUUUUUCCUGUCGAACAAGUCUUGAGGUCUUUAGUUGAUUAAAUGAAUGCAGAUUUUGGUGUCCUCUGUAUUUAGUUCAAAUUAAAAGAUAUAGCGCUAGCUUUGUCAAAUUUUAGAUCUUAUAUUAAUUGAAGGUUGUUAUUGCAUGCUGGAGAUUUAUAUAGUGGACAACAAUCACAAGCAAUCGAUAGUAUCGAAUUUUAAAGUGCAAAGAUGUCGCAAGACAUCAAAACAGGAAGAAACUAUGUCACUUUUUAUGUAAAAGUCUCUUUUCAGUUUUGAGGGGAAAUGGACCUUGGACUUCAAUUUCAUCAUUUAGUCUCAGGCACAGAAUUUCAUCAUUUUGUCCUGUGAAACUAUCAUUUUUCCUUUACCAUUAAUCCUAAAACUGAGUUUCAUUGGUCAGAAGUGUACUUCUUAGUACAAACAUUAGUUGAUAUGCAUUUUAAGGUUCCCCUUUGAUGGGAAAUGUAUCUCAGAACUUAACUCCAACAGUUGAUGUUUCCUACUUGGAUUAUUCAGUCCACCUUGAUGCAUUGUUCUUUGCCCUGAACUUGUGUCCUUCAAACAAUAUUGCUGAUCAUCUUGAAGUAAUGUACCGUUUGUUCAUUUCUCCCUUCUGAUUUCUUGCAUUAUAGUUUCCUCUUUAAUGGGAAAUGUAUCUCAUGAUCUACCUUCUACAAUUAAUGUUUCUUAAGAGUACUCAGUCCACCUUACUGGAUUGUUCCUUCCCCUGAACUUUUUACACCUUAAACAAUACUAUCAAUCAUCUUGAAGUUAUUCAUAUUGUCUUCAUACCUAUCACCCUUUACAGUUGCUUGAAUUUUUGAAAUUCAUACAAUGUAGGAUAUGCCAAGGUUUCAAGCAGAGAAUUUGGAGCACAACAAGAAGUUGUAUGAGCGGGCCAAUGCCAUUGCUUCAAGGAAGGGUUGUACUCCAUCACAGCUAGCAUUGGCCUGGGUCCAUCACCAAGGCAAUGAUGUUUGCCCCAUACCUGGCACUACCAAGAUUGAGAACCUCAAUCAGAAUAUAGGAGCUUUGUCUGUAAAACUGUCAGCCGAGGAAAUGGCGGAACUUGAAUCUAUUGCUUCUGCGGGAGUCAAGGGUGAUAGGUAUGCGCCUGGCCUUGGUACUUGGCAAACUUCUGAAACUCCGCCUUUGUCAACCUGGAAGCGGACAUGAAGACAUACCUUUGUUAUGGCAAUAAUUCCUUCUAGCUAUGUGCCUGAUGGUGGAUUUCACUAUAUUGAGAGUUGAGUGAUAUGUAAUUGUUCCAAUAAAUUUUGACAUACUAUUGUCUCUAGGGCUAUGGCACGUAAAGUUAUAAGUAGAAUGGAUGGAGUUUCUUCAGAGAGGUUGUAAUAAAUAAAGAUCUGGUCAUGUAAAAGCUGAAUAUAAUUUUCCUUGCAGUUGAAUGCAUUAAGAGUUAUAUAUUGUACUUUUGAAUGCUAAAGUGGUCCAUUUUUUAUGUGCUACUGCUACGAGAGUUAUAGAUUGUUGAACAGCAUUCAAUUCUGGACUUAUUAAACAUAAGCAUAUAAACAUUUUAUUCUCGGAAUAUUUACAUCAAAAGAAACUCCAAGGUCACAUCAUUGUAAAGUGUAAACUAUAUCAUAUUAAUAAAAAGCAAAAAAAAUGUCUAAAUGAGGAAAAAAAAUGUACUAUAGAAGAAGUCAACAAUGUCAUGUAAUCAUUUUAUCCUAAAAUUGAGAUUCAAAUUUAGUUGAUUUGUAUUUUGAGUUUCCUCUUUGAUGGGAAAUGUAUCUCAGAACUUUAACUCCAACAGUUGAUGUUUCCUACUUGGAGUACUCAGUCCACCUUGAUGCAUUGAUCUUUCCCCUGAACUUGUGCCCGUCAAACAAUAUUUCUGAUCAUCUUGAAGUAAUUAGUACCAUCUGUUCAUUACUCCCUUCUGAUUUCUUGCAUUAUAGUUUCCUCUUUAAUGGGAAAUGUAUAUCAAGAUCUACCUUCUACAAUUGAGAUUUCUUAGAGUACUCAGUCCACCUUACCAGAUUGUUCUUUUUCCUGAACUUUGUUCACUUCAAACAAUACUAUGAUCAUCUUGAAGUUAUUCGUAUUGUUGUCUUUUGUGGACGACACAUGCUUUACUGCCUUUUUGAAUUUCUGCAUUGCAGUUGCUUAAAUUUUGAAAUUCAUACAAUUUAGAAUAUGCCAAGGUUUCAAGUAGAGAAUUUGGAGCACAACAAGAAGUUGUAUGAGCGGGUCAAUGCCAUUGCUUCAAGGAAGAGUUGUACUCCAUCACAGCAAGCGUUGGCCUGGGUCCAUGCCAAGGCAAUGAUGUUUGUCCCAUAACUAGCACUACCAAGAUUGGAAACCUCAAUCAGAAUAUAGGAGCUUUGUCUGUAAAACUGUCAGCAGAAGAUAUGGCUGAACUUGAAUCUAUUGUAUCAGCUGGAGUCAAGGGUGAUAGAUAUGAUCCUGGCCGUGGUACUUGGCGAACUCCUGAAACUCAACCUUUGUCAACUUAGAAGACUACAUGAAAACAUACCUUUGUUGAGGUAUUAAUUCCUUCUAGCAUUCUACCUGUUGGUGAUUUCACUGUAUUGAGAGUUGAGCGAGUUGUAUUUGAUCCAAAAACUUUGUCAUACUAUUGUCUCGAGGGUUAAGACAUGUAAAGUUUUAAGAAGAAUGGUGUUUCUUUAGAGUGCUUGUAAUGAAUAAAGAUCUGGUCAUGUAAAAGUAGAACACAACAUACCAACAAUGUCAUUGUAAACUACAUCAUACCAACAAAAAAGUAGAAAAUGGUCUAAAGUGAAUCAGAAAUCAACAAAAACUAUGUAAGCACCAAUGGAAAGCAGAAAAGUUCUUGAUACCAUAGUAAACACCAAUGGAAAGCUAAAAAGUUCUCGACGCCAUAGAAAUUAGGGAUUCGUUGGGCAAAAAAGUUCUUAACACCAUACUCUAUAGACGUAGGGGAUCCAGGUUUGGGCAUCUAGCUAAGUGGAACAGGUAAAGGAAAGCUGCAUCACAGAUGUAGCAAGUAGUUCCAAUGCCCUUGCCAAUGGUAUAGGCUUUCUUGCUUCCAACAUGGUCUUGAAAGUGCAGAUUAGAGAAGGAUAUCAAAGCCGGCCAGCUGCGAAUCCUGUGGGGUGAAAACCAUACAUUUGAGAACAUAAACAAAACAGAGCUGCCUGGUCCUCAAUUUAAGCAUUAUACUUGAGAAGGACAAUACAAGCAUUCAGGGAUAUUUGCAGCCCCAUCCUCAAUGUGUGAGAAAAUAAACUUUACAUGCAGAAAGGAAAUAAAUGGUUGAAAUUACACAAUGGAUGGAUGUUGAAAAGAAUCACUAACAAAUAUGUCUAGAAGAUCGAUCUGUUAAGCAUGGGAAGUUCAAAGAGUAGCAUUUUUUUUGAAUCUCAGAAAAAUGAAGAGUAAGGUACAGUCCAACAAUUUAGGGAAUUCAAACUCUAUUUGUGAAUAAACUGCUUGUAUUUUUCCUUUUUCUAGUGUAAGAUUUAAGGAAAAGUUAAAAUCACUUGACCCCUGAUCAGUUCUUUACCAAUACAUUGAUUUUGACUUCAAUCAUGAACAAAUAAUUCAGAUUAAGACUGAAUAGUUAAUAAAUUGAAAAAAAAGGGAAAGACAUCAGAACUUAGAUGUAACACACUAAUCCAUAACAUCCAGUCCUUCUUACUUUUCGUGCCUUUGGCCCAGUGUUGCAAAAGGCCUUGCCUGAGGUAAGGCAUUUGUCUCUACUGCAGCAGCACGAAAGCCUUGGAGCAUGGGUUGUAAUUCUCAUGAAUUUUAAAAUUUUUGAAUAUUUUAAAAAUAUUGUAAUAUUUAUGCAAAAUAUUAUUAAAACACAUAUAACUAUAAUAAAAUAUGUAAAAUUUUAAAAUUAUAGAAAAAUAUAUUAUCAUGAUAUGCGGUAGUAAUGACAGUAUAGAAAAAAAAAAAUAUGACAAAAAUUCAACGAAUACUAGUCGUGGGCAUCUGAAAAUGGUUAUAGAUGACAAGGGACGAUGAUUUUACUUGGAAACUUGGGUUUUUACAUUCUUGUGGUAUGUAUUACUAUACAAAAAUGGUAAAAUUAAAAUAUAACCAAGUUUUGGGGUUAAAUAAGAAAUUUGAGAUAACAGGUUAGCUAAAUUUUUAAAGUGAGCCAAAGCACAAGGACUUAAUACUACAUGUUUUACUAAAAUGGGACCCACAUCUCUAAAUUCAGGCCCGUCAGGUUCAUCGAGGUGCUUCGUUCGCAAGCCCAUUUGUCAGCCCAAAUCAUCAAACGCUUCCUUCCUCCCCUUUUUAUUUAAUAAACCCGAUACGACUUCCUGAUUAUUCCAGGAUCCAACAAUUAAAACUUUACUGGCUCUAAAAAAAAAAAAAACAAUUAAAACUUUACAUACAAAUAAAUGGUCAAAUUCACUUAAAAAUUGUGGGGUCAUCUUCCACAUUAAACUUUUGUACUAUCCAAGUUUGUUUUAAUUCCUUUGGGAAAAUCAAACAUCGAAUGCAUUCCCCAAAAAAAACAAAAAAGGGAAAAGGAAAUGGCUUACCUUUGCCCUUACGUAUCCAAUCCCAAUUUGAACAUUACAUCAUCCAUCCAAUUGAAACAAACUCCUAUGGAGAUUUUUUUUUUGCUCUAUUUUGUUGUUAGAUCUGAAAGUUUUUUCAAAAUUUGAAUCUAUUUGAACAUAUCUCAUUAUCAUUAUUGAAACUUAAAACCAUUUAUUGACAAAUCUGGCAAUUGCCAUAUGCACAAAAGGGAGACGCUUUAAAAUUCUUUAUAUUUUAUUAGAUGUGUUUGUAAUUUUCAAAUCUAUUGUAUUAGUUAAAUUAUAAUCUGUAAUUUUUAAUGCAUGCGUGACCUGCCAUUAGAGGAGUUAUGUAAAUCAAAUCAUGUUGGACGAUUUUCAAAAAAAAAAAAAAAAAACUUAACCGUCAAUUACUCUUUCCCAUUUUAUUUGUCCACUUUUCAAUUGUCAAUAACUCUUUUAAAAUAUUUUGCAAUACAAAAAUCAACUGAAACCAGUAGACAUUGUAAUUAAUAGCAGUAUUCAAUUCUUGUUUUUGUAUAUUACUCGUACAUCUAAUUAGUCCAAUUUGGAGGGAAAAAAAGGUGAAAACAAAAAAAUAUAAUAGUCACAAAAAACACAGAUCUAGCUCAAAAUAUGGCAGUGACCAAUUGUUCUGCAAAAUUAGUAGGAUAAGCAGUUGACAAAUUCUAUAAUCCCUUUUGGUCAAAUAUUAUUUUUAAUAUUUAGGUCGUUACAAUUUCAAUAAUUUAAAUUACCAGUUACUAUCAUCAUUGGAAGAAGCACAUUGAAGGAAUGAUACUCUAAGAUGACUGAUAGAGCGAUUUUUGAGCACAUUUUGUACUAUUAUUCUGUCCUAAUUUUGGCUACUCAUGGUGCUAAGAAUUAAGAUUUUGCUCAUAUUUGAUAUUUGUAUGAAUUAUAGGUGGUUGGCGUUAAAAAUGAUCUUGCGAGGCGAAUUUCUAGAAGACCCUUCAGGUCAAGACGUGCCCAUGCCAGAAGUAGUGGAAGGUUACCCAUAAAGUCGGACCCGCGGGCUUGGUAGCAAAAUAAGUCAACUAGGGAACCAGGUCCACGUGGAUCAAAGGCGGGGGAUUAGAACCCUUAGGCAAAGCUUGUUCCUUUUUUUGGAUUACUACUGGCGGCGCACAUGAAAAAUAUAAGAGACGAAGCCAGGUUCACGUGAAAGGAAGGAGAUAGCUUAGUUUUCUUUUCCCAAAUUUGUCAGACGUUUGUCUUGCUUUUCUCGGUAGAAAACAGAAGACAAGCCAGAAUCACGUGGGCUUAGUAGAUUAGUUUUCGUUUUCUUCACUGGCAACAAUUUCUUUCUCUGUUUUGACUUUUGAUAAAUUUCAUGAGAUUGCUCCAGUACGGACACGAAAUAAGAAAAGGAAUUAAGAGACUUUCUCUUCAUUAUUCCUCCGUUAGUUCACUUUUCUCAAUUCUUCGGCAAUUAAUUGAAUGUUUUCAAUUAAAUCACACGGGAUUGACAGGAUGAGGAGAGGCUAGUUCUCUCCUCUACCCAGAGGUCGACGCGAGGGCGCGGUCCAUAAUAUCAGUAAGAUCUGAUCAAACUUUCAUUAUUUCUUCCAAUUUGUUACUAUUCGUGCGUUUCUUGGAUUAAUUAUUCAUGGGUAUUUUAUUAAUUGAAUAUCAACGGCCGGGUAUUUAAUUUAAUUUAAUAGCCUACUGUCACAUUAACUAAAUUCAAUCCGUAAUUGUUUGUUUAGUUGAUAACUAGUGACAACCAGCAUAAUUAGCUUUAUGUUGGAGGAAUGCAAGAUCUAAUUUAAAUAAACUCUCUUAGCGUGUUUAUUGAUUAGGGUUGAGUUCUUCUAGUUGUAAUGCAGUUGGAUAAUUAAAUUCCUAUAGUUGUACAUAGAGUUGUUAACUGGUUAGAGAAGCAGUCAACGGUCGUACCUUGGCUGUCGAAAAGGUAAGGAAGAAUUGGUUAUCAGAACUUGUUGUUAGCUAUAACCAAUCAAGUAAUGAAUGAGUGAAAUAUCUUUGCAUCGAUGAUCGUUUAAUUGGACCAUGCCUGAAAAGUUGAUCCUUUGGGUAAAAUUUUAUUAAUUGCUAUUUUUACUAAAUUGCACUUGUUGAGUUAGCUCUUGAGUUUUACUUAUUUUAUUUUUACUUUCACCCCAUUAAUUAUCCCUCUCUUUUAUUCUAUUGACUUAGAAAGAAAUCACUUCCUAUCCGUUCCCUGUGGAAUCGACCCUACUUGCCAUUGUACGCAAAUUUAAUAUUUUUAUAGACAAAUCUGGUAUAUCGGAUCAAACAAAUUUUUUGAAAAUAGGGUGAAUCAAGUAACCCAUUGCACACCUAGAGUCCCUGCUCCAGUACUUGGAUUUGUUCUAUAAUGAAUUGUGGUGGUAAUUAGGACUUUUUAGUAAUUAUUAUUGCACAGGUUCGGCACCUGUCAAUUUUUGGCGCCGUUGCCGGGGAGCGGUGUUUUGGUUAAAUUUGUUUCUUUCUAAGUUAUUCUCUUUGAAUCUGUCUAGCAUUUUUCUAGUUUAUGCCUCGCUCUUCUCGUACAGGCGAAUUGAUUUUCGAUUCAGAAGUAGAGAAGGCUGCGCGCCAAACUAGGAAACAGACCAGACAACUCAGGGAGGAGCAAUCCAGUAUUGCAUCUCAGGGACUGGAUCUUGAGGUUGAAUCAACAGAUUCAAGUAGUGAAAAUUUAAAUGAUCCAGGCCAAGAGGGCAUCCUUAUGGCAAAUGCAAGAAUACUAUAGGAGUUGGCUGCUCCAGAAUUACCCCAGCAGCCUUUGUGCAUUACAUUCCUAACGUUGGCUAAAAAUAUCUCAUUUGAAUUGAAGUCAGAAUUAAUCCACCUCCUACCUACGUUCCAUGGCCUCUCAGGUAAGGAACCCUACAAACACAUCCAAGAGUUUGAUGUGGUAUGCUCCAGUAUGAAGUCUCCAGGAAUUACUGAGGAGCAGAUUAAACUCAGAGCCUUCCCCUUCUCCCUCAAGGAUGCAGCAAAUGAUUGGUUGUACUACCUACCUGCAGGUAGUAUCAUCAAAUGAGCCCAACUUAAGAAGAAAUUUUUGGAAAAAUUCUUCCCUGCGUCCCGGGCUGCAAGUCUGAGAAAAGAGAUAUGCAGCAUUAAGCAAUAUCCUGGAGAAUUCUUAUAAGACUAUUGGGAGAGAUUCAAUAAGUUGUGCACUAGAUGCCCACAGUAUCAAAUUAGUAAAUAACUGUUGAUCCAAUAUUUCUAUGAGGGACUCCAGUCGUCUGAUAGAAGCAUCAUCGAUGCUGCGAGUGGGGGAGCCCUGGCGAACAAGACACCACGAGAAGCAUGGAUAUUCAUUGAAUCAAUGGCGAAAAAUUCUCAACAGUUUGGUUUCCUAAAAAGUAACCCUACCCGGAGGGCUAACGAGGUAGAGACGUCAUCCAUUCAGCAGCAGAUAUCAGAGCUAACAUUUUUUGUUACAAUUAGCUGUGGGAAACAUGCAUCAAGCUAAGGCCUGUGGAAUCUGCACAAAUGUGGGUCACUCCACUGACUCAUACCCUAUGUUGCAAGAGGAUGGGGGUGAACAAGUGAACAUAGUCGGAGGCGUGCCCGUGCCUCAUAGACAGUACGAUCCAUACUCCAACACAUACAAUCUGGGUUGGCAAGACCACCCCAAAUUCAGUUAUGGUAAUAAGCCACAGAAUUCAUUUCCCAAUCGCCUACAAGGAUUCCAACAACCGUAGCAACAAAAGUCUCAACCCUCGUCCUCCAGCUCAGGAAGUCAUUUGGAGAAAAUUGUCAAGAGUUCAGCUACGACUAUAACUCAGCUCCAGCAAGAGACUAGGUUCUUGGUCGCGAGCAUUACUCAGUUCCAACAGGACACCAAAGCAGGCAUGAAAGACAUGGAAAUUCGAAUGAGUUAAAUGACAACUGCCAUUAAUCGCCUAGAGUCCCAUGUUUAUGAAAAAUUGUCAUUUCAAUCCGAGCCAAAUCCCAGAAAUGUAAGUGCCAUAACAUUAAGGAGUGGCAAAAAGGUGGAGGGACCUAAGUUGGUAAAUUCGAAAAGCAAAAGUGAGGAAGAGAUAAAAAAGGAGAUUGAAGAAGAAGGACGCAUUCGUAAAGACCCUAAGGUAAAAUUUACUCUUUCAGCUCCUAUUAAAUCUAACUUACCUCAUUUUCCUUGCAGGUUAGAAAAAACAAAGAAGCAAAAUAAGGAAAAGGAGAUUUUAGAGGUGUUUCGAAAGGUGGCAAUCAAUAUCCCUUUGUUGGACGCGAUCAAACAAGUGCCAAAAUACGCUCAAUUCUUGAAAAACUUGUGCGUUAACAAGAAGAAGUUGAGGGGGGAUGAACAAAUUGUGGUAGGUGAGAACGUUUCAGCGAUUUUGCAAAGGAAACUACCACCUAAAUGCGGAGAUUCAGGUAUGUUUAUUAUCCCUUGUAAGAUUGGAUGUUCUAAUAUCAAAAAUGCCAUGCUAGAUUUAGGGGCCUCUAUUAAUGUGAUGCCUAAAUUAAUUUAUGAUUCCCUAAAUUUAAAACCUUUAAAAGAAAUAGGGAUAAUAAUUCAAUUGGCUGAUCGUACAUUUGCUUAUCCGGAUGGAAUAGUUGAGGAUGUUUUGGUGCAAGUAGAUGGAUUAAUUUUUUCUGCUGAUUUUUACGUACUUUACAUGGAUGAUAGAAGUGCCCCAAAUCCAUCACUCAUUAUAUUAGGAAGACCAUUCUUGAGUACUGUCCAAACUAAGAUUGAUAUUAGUAAGGGUACUCUCACGAUGAAAUUUGAUGGAGAAAUAGUCCAUUUUAAUAUUUUUGAUACAAUUAAAAAUCAUGUUAACUCUCAUUCUGUAUUUGCUAUUCAGGCUACUAAUCCCUCUGUGCAAGAAUUCUCUGAGUUUGUUUGUAGGGGUAAAUUCAAAAUUGUUGCGAACAAGUAUCCUGGAAUGAAAGCAAUUCAUGAGGUGAAAAUGAGUAGAAAAUUCAGGAAAAUAUUGCAUUCAAUGGCUAUUUGGAUCCCGGAGGAGGGCCACAAAUUAGAAGAAAAAUUGAAUUACAUCCAAACUGAAGAGCGGUGUAUAGUGUCUAGCCAAAAACAUUAAAGAAAGGCGCUACUUGGAAGGAAAUCCAAGGCUUUCAAUUGUGUUUUUUCAUAUUUGUGUGUUCAAGAUCAGUGGGUUUAGGUUCCUAUUGACAAGCAAUCUUUAUUGUAGGUCAUGGGUGUUUCUGUGUAGUUUUAUUCUAUGUUGGGAGCAAAAAUUUGCGGGCAGAAGACUUCAUGUUACAAGGCUUGCCCGCGCCUUGUACUCACCGCGCAUGAACAUUUGUAAAAUUUGGCGGACAGAAGAUCUCGACCUUCAAGGCGUCCCCACGCCUUCCAACCUUUGCAACAAUGAAAGUUAAAAAAAUUGAUCAGGACCUUCUCUAACCCCCCUUUUCUACUUUUCUCUUUUCUUGUCUUAUCUGGUCUUUUUAAUUUCCUCUAUCUUAGUUUCUACUUUUCAAUUUCCUUUGUUUUGUCUUAGUUUCAGUUUCUUUGUUUCCUCUUUUCUUGUUUGUCCGCUGCGCACAGCGCGUCGCUGUGGCGUGCUCCUCUUACCAUGCUCCUCCUGCUGGGGAUUCCCAAUACCGUGCCCUCCAAGAUUCUAUCCGUGAACUAGGUGAGCGGGUUAAGGGACUAGAUGGCCAUCUUGCAGGGCUACAGGUUUUUGCUCGCAUUCAGGCGAAGAACCAAGCAGCUUUCUUUGCUCAUAUUGGAUUCACUCCAGCUCAUCCUUCCCCCCCUUAGUGUCUAGCUGCACCCUCUCGGUGGUCAAGGAAGUUUAUCUCCUUUUCUUCUAAUACUUCAUUUGUCUUUUCUAUAUUGAGAGCAAUGUAGGUUUUAGGUGUGGGGGAGUGGUUUCCAUUAUUUCUUUUGGCUUUGGUACAAAAAAAAAUGAAAAAAAAUGAAAAAUGAAAAAAAUGAUGAAAACAAUGCAGUUAGUCGGCUUUCUGUUCAUUUCUAUGUUUGUUAGUGCUGGAGUGUGUUGCUAUGAUGGAUUAUACAAUCCUGGGGCACAGGUACAUGGUCAAAUAUGCUAGCUGGACAUUUUGUUUUUCCUUGGCAAUAUCGUUGAAUGUAGAGUGUGUUGAACUUGACCCAUUCUUGUAACUUUUGGAAGCUUUUGAGCCAUGCAUGGGCACAUUAUUCUUGUUUGCUCUAGUUUUGUUUGAUUGAGUGGGUAUCACACAUGGUAUUGGUAUUCUAGAACUUGCUAUUUUAUACAUGUCGAGACUAUAUUUUGUUGAACUGGAUGCAUUUGAAAUGAUAAGGGCAUUUGGGAUUAAACCUUCUUUAACUUCCUAAAACCCAUGCCUUCAUCUUGUCUCCCAAUAGUGAACCAAUUUGAACUUUUAUCCGUCAAAUUUGUUUGUUAGCCAUGUUGAUAACCCAAGACCUUUUUAGACUUUCUUGUUCACCCCGGUGUUGUUAAGGGAUGUCUGAAUUUCAUCAUUUGUGCAAGACAAAUAAAUCUGGAGUCGCAAGUGUUGUUAGAGUAGAAUCUGUAUGAUGCUAUCUUUGUGCAUUUAGAACAAAAAGGGGAGAAAUCGACAAUAAGCUGCUGAUCAGAAGACUCUGUCUUACAGGGUGUGCCCACGCCUUGCAACACGUUUUUCAAAAAAAAUGAAAAAAAAGGAGAAGAGAAGCUAGUGAACAUAAGGCUCUGGCCUCCAGGACGUGCCCAUGCCUUGCAAGACAUCUUUGUAAAAAAAAAAAAAAAUUGCGACAUUUGCACAGUAGGUACAGCAGGUGAAACUGUCUUGUUCGCGGAGUUCAUGUGGUGAAGCAUUGUGGUUAUAUGGUGGGUUUUGGACAUCCUCUUGACACAUUACAUCUUACCUUCACCUUCUUAUCCCGCAUUUUACCUAAACCCCAUUACAACCCUAUUAAAAUCUCUUUGAUUAGUGUAUUUAAUUCACUUUUAAGUGGUGGAGAUUUAAUAAAUGUGCAAGCCUAUGGUAAUGUCAUUCCGUGUGUUGAUUUGACCGUUCCCAGUAUUCAUACAUUCUCUUGAAGGUGACGAGUAUUACUGAGCAUAUUCUUUGGUUAAUUGCCUAUCCGGCAUAUUCUAAUUUCGGCGACAUUGUCGGGGGGGCGAGAUGCUUGUGCUAGUAUAGAUUACUAUAUGACCUCUGUUGUCUUGAUUGUAUUUCUGAGUUUCGGAAUGCUUGAGGACAACCAUUGUUUAGGUGUGGGGGGAUUUGAUAGAGUGAUUUUUUAGCACAUUUUGUACCAUUAUUCUAUCCUAAUUUUGGCUACUCAUGAUGCUGAAAAUUGAGAUUUUACUCAUAUUUGAUAUUUAUAUGAAUUGUAGGUGGUUGGCGUUAAAAGUGAUCUUGCGAGGUGAAUUUCCAGAAGACCCUUCAGCUCAAGACGUGUCCACGCCAGAAAUAGUGGAAGGUUACCCAUAAAGCCGGACUCGCGGGCUUGGUAGCAGAAAAAGUCAACUAGGGAACCAGGUCCACGUGGACCAGAGGCGGGGGAUUAGAACCCUUAGGCAAAGCUUGUUCCUUUUUUUGGAUUACUAUUGGCGGCGCACAUGAAAAAUAUAAGAGACGAAGCCAGAUUCAUGCGAAAGGAAUGAGAUAGCUUAGUUUUCUUUUCCCAAAUUUGUCAGACGUUUGUCUUGCUUUUCUCGGUAGAAAACAGAAGACAAGCCAGAAUCACGUGGGCUUAGUAGUUUAGUUUUCGUUUUCUUCACUGGAGACAAUUUCUUUCUCUGUUUUGACUUUUGAUAAAUUUCGUGAGAUUGCUCCAGUACGGACACGAAAUAAGUAAAGGAAUUAAGAGACUUUCUCUUCAUUAUUCCUCCGUUAGUUCACUUUUCCCAAUUCUUCGGCAAUUAAUUGAAUGUUUUCAAUUAAAUCAUACGGGAUUGACAGGAUGAGGAGCGGCUAGUUCUCCCCUCUACCCAGAGAUCGACGCGAGGGCGCGGUCCAUAAUAUCUGUGAGAUUUGAUCAAACUUUCAUUAUUUCUUCCAAUUUGUUACUAUUCGUGUGUUUCCUGAAUUAAUUGUUCGUGAGUAUUUUAUUAAUUGAAUAUCAACGGCAGGGUAUUUAAUUUAAUUUAAUAGCCUACUAUCACAUUAACUAAAUUCAAUUCGUAAUUGUUCGUUUAGUUGAUAACUAGUGACAACCACUAUAAUUGGCUUUAUGUUGGAGGAAUGCAAGAUCUAAUUUAAAUAAACCCUCUUAGCUGUUUAUUGGUUAGGGUUGGAUUGUUCUAGUUGUAAUGCAGCUGGAUAAUUAAAUUUCUAUGGUCGUACUUAGGAUUGUUAUCUGGUUAGAGAAACAGUCAACGGUCGUACCUUAGCUGUCGAAAAGGUAAGGAAGAAUUGAUUAUCAGAGCUUGUUAUUAGCUAUAACUAGGGGUGGCAAUCCGGUCGGGUUCGAGUUGGUGGGGCGGGUUGAGACCCAAAUAUAACAAAAAAAAUCAUUGACCCGAACCUGACCCGUCAACCCGAAACGGGUCAGGAUGCCUGACGCCAACCCGAAAAUUUCGGGUUGGCGGGUCGACCCGAAAUGACUCGAAACUUAAUUUUAAAUUAUUAAUUUGUCAUUGUAAUUUCUAAUAAAAUCAAUUUCUCACAAAAUUAAUUACAUCAUCAAGUAAUAAAAAUUUAAAUAAAAAUUUCAAACCAAAUCUAAAAUAAAUUAAAUACCGUAAAAGUGUUUUAUCCCAAACCAAAUAUAAAAUAAAUUAAAACAGCAUAAAAGUGAAAAAUAACAUAAUAUAUUAUUUGUUCAAAUAUAAUAAUUUUAACUUCACACAAGUUAAAUAAAUUCAUUUAGGAUUAAGUAAUUAAUACCUUUGAAAAAAAAAGAAUGAUUUAGUUUAGUUAGAUAAAAUAAUUUUAUGCUUAUGAAAUUAUUUUUAAUUCGUAAACGGGUCAUAUCGGGUCAUAUCAGGUCACCAUGGGUUGACCCGAAAUCGACCUGUUUUGUUUUCGGGUCAAUCGGGUUCGACCCGAUUCUGACCCGAAUUCCUGAAACCUCAAUCCAAACCCGUUAAUUUCGUGUUACGUUCAUGUCGUGUUUUCGGAUCGUGUCAGAAAUUGCCACCCCUAACUAUAACCAACCAAGUAACGAAUGAGUGAAAUAUCUUUGCAUCGAUGAUCGUUUAAUUGGACCAUGCCUGAAAAGUUGAUCCUUUGGGUAGAAUUUUAUUAAUUGCUAUUUUUACUAAACUGCACUUGUUGAGUUAGCUCUUGAAUUUUACUUAUUUUAUUUUUACUUUCACCCCAUUAAUUAUCCCUCUCUUUUAUUCUAUUGACUUAGAAAGAAACCACUUCCUAUUUGUUCCCUGUAGAAUUGACCCUACUUGCCAUUGUACGCAAAUUUAAUAUUUUUAUAGACAAAUCUGGUAUAUCGGAUCAAGCAAACUUUUCGGGAACAUGAUGAAUCAAGUAAUCCAUUGCACAUCUAGGGUCCCUACUCCAGUACUUGGAUUUGUUCUAUAAUGAAUUGUGGUGGUAAUUAGGACUUUUUAGUAAUUAUUAUUGCAUAAGUUCGGUACCUGUCAAUGACUAUAGAAUUUUUCUAGUCGGUGAUACAAAAUAUUAAUAUUUGAAAAAAAUUCUAAUCACACAAUUGUAUUUGAUCUCAACCAACCGUCACUACUUUAAAUUAAUUUGGAUUGCAAGUAACGUCAUUACUUUAUGUGAAUAUCAAACAUGAAAAGCGCAUGAUAUAUACGAGCAAAAAAAUUAUAAUGUACUAAUUUUCAAUUUCUUUAUGUAGAAUAUUUUCGUGAAUAUUAAUUUUUGACAUAUCUUAGUCAAGGUCAUUAAUCAACCCGGACCUAAUCAGCUCCAAACCCAGGGCAAAUUUCUGGCAAAUUUCUUUGAAAUACUGCCAAAAAGAAGUUUGAAAAAUAUUGUUGAAAAGUUGAGCAUUUUUCUAUCUAGGCUCUUCGUGUCUCCUACACGCAAUGGAUAGUUUAUUUGUUCAAUUUUCUUUUUAUAAAAGGAGCUUGUCGUAUGUCAGGCACAUGGCGAGCCACAUUUAAAAUUUGGUUCCUAUCAUAGAGUCUAUUAUGUCCCUAACACUGAUGGACUGUUUUUUAAUUUUUUUUUUUUUUAAAAAGCAAGUGAAAAGUGUUGCAACUCAAGAGUUGGAUAGUAAUUUUAAAAUUUAAUAGUGCACCUACCUUUUAAUUUUUUCGUGUGCUUUUAAGGUAUCAAACGGGGAAAAAAAAACCAACACCAUAUAACUUCAAAUGCAAGAUGGUACGGAAUUUGUCAAUAUGUAGAUGUUAAUAGACAUUAAUGACAUGUAAAAAGUGCACCAUUCAUCACAGAGAUAUUUAUCCUAAUAUUACACUCUUUUUUUUUUUUUUCAAAAAUUCCAUAUUUCAUGCAAACAUGUAAUCAAUAUGCCUAAUCAACAUUAGAUGAAUUUAAACAAGUAGCCUACAAAUUUAAAAAUAUUUGAUUUCAUAAAUGUGCAUUCGCAAUUUAGAAAAGGUACUCUUCAAAUGGCAAAUCUAGAGAGCAACAAAUACUCCUACUCUAUUUUGAUUUCAGAUCUUCUUUUGACUUGCCAAAAACGUGAAAACAUGAAACUAAUACUGUGUCAGAUGGAGAGAAGUAAUAGAAAUUUGUUUUCUAGAUUCUUUGGCCUCCCAAUUUUUUCAGCGGGUCAACUCCGACCAUUAUCAUGGUCAUGUGAUUGUAGGUGUACCUGGCUUUGUAGACCACAACGUGGAUUGGAUAUGUCGAUUAGCUCCCAUCCUAUUAUAAUAUUUUUUCUUUUAUAAAUCAAUAUCUAUUCUAUUCCUAUUUCAACUUCUAUUCUAGGGAAAGGGGAGAUUCAACUGAAAAAUUGAUAGUGAUUGAAUCACGAUCGGACCAAACAGAUGUACUAUGCACAUAUACGAAUCUUGGAGAAGCCGGUGCAAUGAUGAGAGGUAAUGUUUGAGUCUUGACCUUCCAUUCCACUAAAAUUUAUAGUCUUUGAUAGUGGCCAACCACCCAAAGAGUUGUUGGUUAACUCCCACCCUGUUAGGAAGUAAAGGUUUUCGACACUCUAAAACAAAUGUUUUUUUUUUGUUUUUUCAAUUAUUUUCAUCUAUCACCAACAGCUGGCGGUCAUGGGUCAUUCAUCAAAGCAUAAAUCCGAACGACACUAAUCCCUCACUAGUCAUCCCCUCAUUCCUUCACGUAUGUUUUUAAUAAAUUGGAUUCAUCUAUUUGGUGUUCUAAAAUCACAUUUAAAAAGUUUUUUUUUUUUUGCAAUGUGUUAUUAUUCAGGACAUGAAUGAUAAUUUUAAAAUUUGAAUAGUGGACCUAAAAAUAAAACUUGUAAAUUUUACAUCUUAGCCUACUUACUUUUAAAACAGAGGGAAAAAACAGCACAUAAUUUCAAGUCAAAGAUUGUAUGCAGUUUGUCCAAUAAAUAAAUAUUCAUAAUUCAUAAUUUCAAACGACCGUGCCUAGUUGCGUGCGACCAUGCCCCGUCGGCCUGCGUUCCGCACACUAGGAUUCUAGAACUGUGUGGAACUCUUUAGAGUCCUUAAAGGAUAAGGAUGCAUGAAUCUUGAAGAUAAGCAUGAACCUUGUAAAUAAGGUUGUGUAGAAAAUUCUAAGCACUUGUAGUGUUUUGGCUUGCCUAUAAAUAGGCCAAGCCCUUUGUAUUGGAAAUGGUUGGCGACCUUGUGUAAAGAAACUUUAUGUAUAAUAUAAGCUUUUCUUUGCCACACUUACAUAUCUUUGCAUACUACUUUGGCGCUUCCGCACUUUAACCGCGCAUUGAGUGUUAAUGCUGAACUAGUUAGGCGUUCAUAGCUUAAGACAUGAGCGUAUGUUAGUGCCGCACGAGGUGUUGGUUUGUAGGAAAACAAGCAGCCCGUGACAAUAGGAAUGUGCUUAGAAAUUGACAUGUGCACUGAUGAUUAAUGCGGUGGACCCGUAAGGGAAAGUGGACAUCGGAAGCCACACGCGCAUGAAUUAAGUGUAAGGAGGAAAUGAUUUCGGGAAUAGCUAAUAUUACCAUUUAUCACUGAUUUUUAAAUUCAAAUUAUUUUUUUAAUUUUUCGUAUGUUGUUUGACAAGAAAAAUAAUAUUUUAUUAUUAUUAGAUUCGCAAGAAAUUCAAAUUUAUCUUCUUAACACUUAGUAAAAAUUGAGUUUAAAUACAUAUUUAUUUUUAAAUGAAUAUAAAUGGAUGAGUCGAAUCAAUCAAUUAUCCUGAGUAUUUUGAAUAACUCAGUUUCAUGUCCGUUUCAAUUCUUCAAAAAUUGCACAGAAAAGUGAAAACAAUGAAAAUGUCUUGGACUCGGGGCACGGACGGUUGCAGGUGCAACCGUCCCUGCCAAUUUUAGUCAUUAUCAACUGUGCGUAACUUUCUUUGUACAUCGUAUAACUUUUUUUUUACAGGAUAUAUUUUCACAACAGAUAGUGGUGAGUCCCACACUUGGCGCGAAAAUCGAGUUACAUGGUGUUAUCUUAGCCGCACAAAAUUUUGAGGACAAAUUUUGAUCCUUAACCGUGCAGGGACGGUCAUACUGCCCCAAAUCCAAAUGUCUUAUAUUAGCUUGGCAGUCCUGCUGAGGUAUAUACAGGUGGAAAUCAUGCUACACAUUGUACAGCUUUCCUUUAGAACCAAGAAACCUGAGCAUUCUCUUUCAAUUGAGAUAGGCUAUCCAGUUGAUUAAUGAUAUGCUAUUUACUUACCUUGUCAAUCGUUUUCAGUCGGUGCCAAAAGCACUGCAGUAGCCGUUUUUUAGUCAAUAUCUAAACACGGUACUCAUUUUGUUCAGAGUACAGCUUUUUGUCUAUUUGUGAAAGCCAACUGCAACUGCCUCAUUGACUUCUCCAAGUAAUUCAAAGAUUUCAGCAGCUUGCUUACAUUAAGCUUUUAUGAAACAAUUUCUGUCUUCUUUUUCUCAUGUAGUCAGCAAAGAAUUGUCUAAUUUACCCUGAGUAUUAGGAAGAAACUUUCUUGCAGUUUAAUCACUCAAAAAACAGGCAAGUAUAAAGGAAAUCAAGGAAAAUUGACAACUGAUAAUUGAUAUGUACAGCCAUUAUUAUAUAUAGACGAAGUCAGCAAUUGAUUUAAGCACGUCUCGGUAAGUUAAAAGGUUAAAACUUUACAUACAAAUAAAUGGUCAAAUUCACUUUAAAUUUGUGGUGUCAUCUUCCACCUUAAACUUUUGUACUACCCAAGUUUGUUUUAAUUCCUUUGGGAAAAUCAAACAUCAAAUGCUUACCAUUUAUUGAAACAUUACAUCAUCCAUAUUUUUUUUUGACAAAAAAAGUAGAUAUAUAAUUAAUAGCAGUAUUCAUAUUAUUUUUUGUAUAUUACUUGUACAUCUAAUUAGUCCCAUUUGGAAAAAAAAAGGAUGAAAACAAAAACACAUAAUAGUCACAAAAAACACAGAUCUAGCUCAAAAUAUGGCAGUGACCAAUUGUUCUGCAAAAUUAGUAGGAUAAGCAGUUGACAGAUUCUAUAAUCGCUUUUGGUCAAAUAUUAUUUAAAUUAGCUGGAUGGUCAAAUAUUACUUUUAAUUUUAAUCAUUUAAAUUACCAGUUGAAUGUUGACUUCCCAUUUCACUAAAAUUUAUAGUCUUUGGUAGUGGCCAAUCAUCCAAAGAGCUAUUGGUUUGUUCCCACCCUGUUAGGAACUAAAGGUUUUCGACCUUCUAAAAAAAAUGUUUUUGUUUUCAAAAAUUAUUUUCGUCUAUCACCAACAGCUGGCGGUCAUGGGUUAUUCAUCAAAGCAUAGAUCCGAGCAACACUAAUCCCUCACCAGCCAUCCCUCAUUCAUUGUCGCAUCCUUUUUAUGAAUUGGAUUCAUCUAUUUGGCGUUCUAAAAUCACAUUUAAAAGUUUUUUUUUUUUUUUUUUUUGCGAAAGUGUUAUUAUUCAGGAUGUGUAUGAUAAUUUAAAAUUUUAAUAGUGGACCUAAAAAUAAAACUUGUAAAUUUUACAUAUGAGCCUACCUACUUUUAAAAUAGAGGGAAAAAAACACCACAUAACUUCAAGUCCAAGAUUGUAUGCAGUUUGUCCAAUAAAUAGAUAUUCAUAAUUCAUAAUUUCAUAUACACAUGUUAACUAGAGAUGUCAAUCACAACCCAAUUAUAUUGAUCCGUUCAAAACCGUUCACUAAUAACCCAUCCAAAUUCACUCAUUAAAAUUUAAAUGGGUCUAAGGUUGUGUUUGGAUUGCAUUUUCCGUCAUUUUUCAUGGAAAAAUUACUGUAGCGAUUUGAUAUAUGUGAGGGAAAAAGGUGAUAGGGAAAUGUGAUCACGGAAAACGACAAUAUUUUUCGACAGAAACAAGCAAUCCAAGCAUGACCUAAGUGAGUACCUAAUUAAAUUCAUUUAAUUGGUGGAUAGUUGAUUGAUUCGAUUCACCUAUUUAUAACCAUUUAAAAAAAUAUAUUUUUAAACUCAAUUUUUACUAAGUGUUAAGAAGAUAAAUUUGAAUUUCCUACGAAUCUAAUAACAAUAAAGUAUCAUUUUUCUUGUUAAACGACAUGCAAAAAAUUAAAAAAAAUAGAAUUUCAAAUCAGUGUAAAUGGGUAAUUAAGUAUAUUCAUAUCCAUUUAUUAAAUAGAUAUAAAUGGAUUGAUUCAAUUAUAUCUAUUACCCAAUUAAAAUUUGCUCAAAUCCGUACAAGUCACUCAUUUUGAUGCUUUUAAUGUUAAUAUAUAUUCACAAGUGAAGAGUGCAGCAUUGGUUGGGAAGAUAUACUUAUUUAUCUCAAUAUUAUAAUCGUUUUUUACGUUGCAAAAGUAUUGAUAAUUUCAUAAUUUCAUCGAAGUAUGUAAUCAGUGACAUAACAUUACAUGAAUUUCAACGAAGUAUGUAAUCAGUGACAUAACAUUUCAUCAUUAGUCUUCAGCGGUGAAUCUAUGCUCUUUUCACGAGGCUUCUUUUCAAAGCUUUGAUUAUGGCAUACACUUCUGACAAUAUGCCCCUUUUAGAAUAGGGAUAAGUUUCUGGGUGAAUCUUUUCACGAGGCUUCUUUUCAAAGCUUUGAUUAUGGGGAUAAUUUCAGAUACCUCCCCUGAGGUUUCUGAGAGUUUCACUCCCCUCCCCUGUGGUUUCAAUAAUACCACAAACCUCCCUUAAAACUAGAUAGGCAAUGCCAAAAUAGACCCAUUUUAAAAAUACAAACAAUAAAAAAUUAGUAGCUGGUGAGAGAAACAAGUGUAUACCACAAAUGCCCUCAUUAUCUUGCAUUAAUGAACUAAUCUCAUGUGAAGAAAAAACAGGGAAUUUAAGAAGAAAGAAACUUGAGGGGGUGGAAGUGAGACCAAUGCAUUCAUUAAGGUCUGAACGUCAGUAGUGAACAAAAUGGAAGGCAACGGCUCUUUCUGGUAGGGCAUGUUGUUUUGUCAAGCGAGCAUAUAACUGAAGAACGGCCUGCAUAACCAAAGCUAGUACAUGUUGUUUUAUCAAGUCACAAGCAAUAAUCAAUACAUUACCACAAUCUUCCAUCGUCAAAAAGCCUGUAGGUUUUCCAAAUGUUUUCUCAAAGAUUUAUCGACUUUCUUUAUCCUGCAAAAGAGGAGUGGAUUUUUUCUCAGCAACAUCUUCCAGAACUGGAGAUGCAACAUGUUUCUCUGAUGAGUCAGGUAUUAGUCCUGCUGCAGUCUCUUCUGUACUUUCACGAGAGAUUCUGGGCCUGGAUUGCAACAAAUUAUCCAGGAUUAGAAGUAAGGCACUAAUACAUUUCGGGCUCAAAAUCUCAUUUCCUGCAAUAGUCCUUGCUUUGAAGUUCAUCAAGAUAUCAAUUGCCAAUGGGACAAUGCCACUCUGCACAGCAAUUUGUCGAGCAUUUUCAUCUUCAGAUAAAAUCAAUGCUAAAGUAUGUGAAACCAUGCACAAUGCACUAUUAUCUUUUGAGAAUUCCAUGGGGCACUGCUUUAGCUACUUUACAAGAUAAGGAAUCACCCGAUCACGGUCUUCUCCUUUGUUCCUAUUGCAAAGAGUCACAAGCAAAUCUGUCAACUGGAAAGCCAUUGAAUCACUACUGUGAAACAACUUCAUUGUUGCAGCAAGGAUGUCAUCAACAUAAGGGGUCUUAAUUCGUUCCUCUUCUGCCAAAACAUCCACUGAUUUUUCAGUGUUAUCGACUUUAGAUGCUUCUGAGGAAUUUCCUAGAGAUAAAGCAAGUGCACGAGCCAAUUCAUCAUCCUCCAGCACAGGAUCUUCAGCAUGACUAAAUAACCAUUCCAUAGCCAUUUCGACACUAUUAGUUUCCACUCUUUUUAAUGCCUUCUCAGCUCUUGCUCUUGAGAACCCCAUCUCAACAAUGGUAGCAAUGGUAGCUUCAUUAGGUGGUGGAGCCACCAAACGUUGGUUUGUAUUCCCUAACAACCCACUACGAUUUGUUUAACAUCACCAACACCAGAAUAUACAUGAGUGAUUAGUGAAAUAAUAGAAGUUAUAAAAACUGGAUUACAAUUUGGAAACAAAGGGUGAUUCCAGAUGGGAACUAUAGCAUCCAGAACCUGAGACUGCAGCAUACGAACAAACACUUAAGGGUCCUUAGGAACAGGAAGCAACCCAAUAGACAGACCAACUGCAACAGGUUGCACAAGCAGCUGUGCCUGGGAUGCUAAGGUUGGAGACAACAGCAAAGAAGAAUUGAUAAAAUAUUCAAGAAGGCGACAAUAACUCUGCAAUGUAUCAAGCAGCCAUGAACUGUGAGACAAUUUGCCCUCCUCCGGUAAGACAAUCAUAAAAAGUUACAAGUAACUCUUGGGGUCUACCUUAGCCACUCUUACUUUUCUUCCCAUAAAAUGGAGCACAAUAUCAUGAAAAUCAGUGAUAACCAUCCUACAAUAGACAAUCAUAGGCUACUGAAGUUACAAUAUUAGUUAUUGAAGUUACAGAAAAUAUUAGCUACAAUAUUAACCAUCUUGCAACAUUGGUUGCUGAAGUUACAGAGCAAGUAUAAGCUUUCUAAGUACUGAGGUUUGGCAUCUAACUAUAUCAAACAAUCCAAGUCAGACGAGAAAUUUAGAAUCAAGUAAGCAUAGUCUGGUAGAGGCUUAGCAAACCAAGUCACAUGACAAACCAGAAAAUCAUAAGCAAACAUGUAUCAAGCUUACACAAACAACAACCAAAUCAUCAUAAGCUGCCAAUAUCAUAUUGAAACAGAGUAUGAAAUCUUAAACACUUACCUGGUAAAUUUUUCUUAAUGAGCUAAGAGACUCUUCAGUUUGUUUGCCAAGACCUUUGUUUGCUAAGAACUUUCUUAACGAGAAUCAAGAGCUUUGUUUGCCAACCAUCAACCUCAGUUGCUAUAUCUCAACAAUGGCGGGAACAAAGUAAGUUUCUUGCUUCUAUAGGUACCGUGCCUAUCAAGCUGUUGUGUCAAUCAGACCAUGGCGCCUAAGUUUGGCGCCAUUUUGCUGAAGGCUCCUUUCUAUAUUGGUUGUUAGGACUCUAAUUUUUCGUUAAUUAAUUACAUUAAUUGUGUUUAUAACUAAUUCAACUAAAGUUUUCCAGAUAAUCAUGAAAUAUUAGCAAACUAGUGAGGGUAUUUAAGUCUUUUUGGCACCAAUGACGUAAGAAAUGGGACCUCACAAUCUGACAAGGGAGGUUUGUGAUAUUAUUGAAAUCACAGGGGAGGGAAGUGAAACUGUCAGAAACCUCAGGGGAGGUAUCUGAAAUUAUGGGAUACACUUCUGACAAUAUGCCCCUUUUAGAAUAGCGAUAAGGUUCUGUGUGGGAUAAUUUCAGAAACCUCCCUAGGGUUUGUAACAAUUUCAUCAAGCUUUCUUGAGAUUUUCAAUAUUACACUUACCUCCCUUGAUGAUAGUGACUAUAAUAAUCUUCAUAAUUUUUUCAGAGACAAGCCAUUGAUAAAAAAGGAUUAAAAAAAAACGAAAACAAUUCUUCUUGGCUAAGCCACAUAUUGUGACUAAAUUGUUUCAUCCAUGACCACUAAAUUGUAAUUUUCUAUUACUGAGAAAAGGAAGUAUUUUGGUAAUUGAGGGGCUUGGUUGUUUGAGUAGGAAAAGGGUAAGAAUUAUGAAUUUUAUGAUUGACAGUUUGGUAGACAACAUAUGGAAAAAACUUAUAGAGAGGUAAAAAUUAUAAAGGUAAGAAUUAUGAUGGUGGAUUUUGACAUCUAAAAUAACGAGCUUGUUCGAAAGAGGAAGAAAUGAUAAGACUUUGAAAACUUGGGUAGAUGUAGAAAAUUAUGAGAUGAAAAAUAUUAGGACAUUGGCUAAGUAAUAAAACUCAUAGGUUUAUAGUAUACAAGUGUAUUCUUGAUUUUUGAAAAAUUUUAAUGACUAUUCAUAUUUUGAAAAUUAGAUAAGGACAAUUUUGGGCAUUCGUAUAUUUUUUUGGUCUUACAUCGUCAAGGUGAAACUCAAACCUAUGUUUGAGUAAAUAUAUGUGUAAUUUUCAAAACGUGAGAAAAGCUGUCUGAAAUUAUCAGAAACCCCAGGGGUGGUUUAUGAAAUUAUACAAAAAACUCCAAUAAAGUGGCAGUUCAAACUGGGCCAACCAUCUCCUAUCUUCGCAUGUCCUCCCGCCGGCGGCCCUGAGUCAUCUAUAAAAGUAUAGACCAAGACAGCACUAAUCCCUCAUCAGGCCUCCAUACUUCUUCUUCAGGCCUCAGCAACGAAACAAUAAACUCUGCUCCACUCAACUCUUUCCUCUGUGUCUUGUACUCUUGUCUGAAAAUGGCGGCGUCAGAAGAAGUGAAAGUGCCAAGAAUCAAGCUGGGGUCGCAAGGUUUUGAAGUUUCAGCUCAAGGGCUGGGCUGCAUGGGCAUGUCAGCCGUCUACGGGCCGCCAAAGCCCAAGCCUGAUAUGAUCAAACUCAUCCACCAUGCUAUUUGCAGAGGAAUCACCCAUCUUGACACCUCCGAUAUCUAUGGACCUCACACCAACGAAAUACUCAUUGGCAAGGUACCAUAUUUGCAAAUUUUCUGCUGUUGUCUGCUAUGCAUAAACUCUUGUAAUUUUAAUUUCUAAAAGAGCAUAUUUUUAAAUAUUUUAUUUAGGUAAAUUAUGCUUAAUCCCAUGCACUUCAAAAUUUGUCUCCCUU